AUUGAACGCUGGCGGCAGGCCUAACACAUGCAAGUCGAGCGGAGCGGCGGACGGGUGAGUAAUGCCUAGGAAUCUGCCUGGUCGUGGGGGAUAACGUCCGGAAACGGGCGCUAAUACUGCAUACUAUCAGAUGAGCCUAGGUCGGAAUAGCUAGGUGGUGGGGUAAAGGACUACCAAGGCGACGAGCCGUAACUGGUAUGAGAGGAUGAUCAGGAACACUGUAACGGAGUGCCGGUCCAGACUCCUACGGGAGGCAGCAUUGGGGAAUAUUGGACAAUGGGCGAAAGCCUGAUCCAGCCAUGCCGCGUGGGUGAAGAAGGGCUUCGGAUUGUAAAGCACUUUAAGUUGGGAGGCGUUACCAACAGAAUAAGCACCGGCUAACUUCGUGCCAGCAGCCGCGGUAAUAC
rnacentral:rRNA from 1 species